AGCAGCCGCGGUAAUUCCAGCUCCAAUAGCGUAUAUUAAAGUUGUUGCAGUUAAAAAGCUCGUAGUUGAAUUUCGGGGUCAGUAGGUCGGUCGUGCCACUGGUAUGAACUGGUUUUACUGAUUCCUCCCUCUUGAAGAACUGUAAUGCCAUUAAUUUGGUGUUGCAGGGAAUCAGGACUGUUACUUUGAAAAAAUUAGAGUGUUUAAAGCAGGCUUUAGCUUGAAUACAUUAGCAUGGAAUAAUGAAAUAGGACGUUUGAUCCUAUUUUGUUGGUUUCUAGGAUUGACGUAAUGAUUAAUAGGGAUAGUUGGGGGCAUUAGUAUUCAAUUGUCAGAGGUGAAAUUCUUGGAUUUAUUGAAGACUAACUACUGCGAAAGCAUUUGCCAAGGAUGUUUUCAUUAAUCAAGAACGAAAGUUAGGGGAUCGAAGACGAUCAGAUACCGUCGUAGUCUUAACCAUAAACUAUGCCGACUAGGGAUCGGACGGUGGUUUUUUUAUGCCCCG
rnacentral:rRNA from 1 species